UACGUAGGGUGCAAGCGUUGUCCGGAAUUAUUGGGCGUAAAGAGCUCGUAGGCGGUUUGUCGCGUCUGCCGUGAAAGUCCGGGGCUCAACUCCGGAUCUGCGGUGGGUACGGGCAGACUAGAGUGAUGUAGGGGGAGACUGGAAUUCCUGGUGUAGCGGUGAAAUGCGCAGAUAUCAGGAGGAACACCGGUGGCGAAGGCGGGUCUCUGGGCCGUAACUGACGCUGAGGAGCGAAAGCGUGGGGAGCGAACAGG
rnacentral:rRNA from 1 species